CUAAAAAAAAAAAAAAAAAAAGGAUCACAGACUAAAACCUGGAAGAGAAGUUGCUGACUACAGUAGCAUGCCAAGCUGCCACCACAUCCUGCAGGACGAGAAUCGUGACAUCAUCACCCCCUGCAGCUGCCUGGAGCCAGUGAAGGGACCUCAACAGGGGGAAGAAGUAACCACCAUACGAACAUUCUACAAGGGUUAUAUUUUACACCCUCAUUUAUUUUACAAGGAUUGAUCACCAUUGCCAUCUCUCCUCCACCUGCUGACCCAAUUAUCCAGAUGCCCUUGUUACUAGCCAAUCCUAACAUCUAUUUGGGAGGGGAACCCUCUGAUGAAAGUGAUGACUCUCAUGAUGAAGAAGAUGUUGUUAGAGUGUGAGAAUAUUGAGUGAUUUAUGUAACAAUCCCUUAAACUGUUUAUUUCUAUGAGUUUUUUGAUUGUGUUGUUUUUAUUUUUUUGAUCAUUGAUGUCCUAGGCAUGCCCACUCUGUGCCAAAAGGCGUUCGCCUCAAAAUGAGGGGACAUGGGGGAAUUUUCCCUAUUUGACGUACAUAAUUAGGGUUUUUCGCCCUCAUACGGUGAGCAUGCGAUCCGUUCAUGUUGUAACAUGUUCUGUUAAAAAUAUGAUCAUGUUUUUUUGUAUUAGUUUACUGCUGGAAAUAUGAGAAGCUGUAAUCUGAUGGAUUGUUUGUAUUUGUAUUUUAAAACUUUUCUUAUUGGAUUCUUUUUGAUGGAAUUUGGUGUUAUUGUUUUGAUUUCUUAUAUCUUUAUUGAACUCUUAAAAGAGUUCAAAAGGGGGAUUGAAAAUAUAUAUCUCUCAUAUAAGCUCUUUCAUAUAUUAUUAUAAGCUCUUUUAUAUGAACAAAUAUGUAUCUCUCACUUAUGCUCCUUAUAUAUUAUCAUAAAUACAUUAUUAUAUGCCUUUUCAUGGAAUCUUGUUAUAAUAUCGAAAACCUCUCUGUGCCUUUUCUGCUCAAGCUGAACAGCUGCAUAAGGGAGUGAAAGUGUUCCUUCCUUCAUUUCCUCAAUACAAGAACAACUGUCUUUGUUAGCAAAGGAUGUUGCAGGAUGUGUCCUGGUCAUCUCAAGGUUGCAUGUCCUUGGGAUGAAUUGGUCUUUCAUUAACAAGGCUAUUAGCUGACGUGCGUCUGCAGGUGCAGAUGGCAGAAUUACGUGUGUGUAUGGCAAACUACGUAUGUAACAUUCCUGUAAUCUUCAAUAAAAAUCAGCCGUUUUCAGCAGAACGGCGAGAGUCUGUCCGAAGCAACUGGCAAGAGCAGAUCACGGGACCUGCUGCAUGUUGCAAAAGGGCUCUCCCCCUCUCGAGCGGUGAAACAGUGA